rnacentral:rRNA from 1 species
UACGUAGGGGGCAAGCGUUGUCCGGAUUUACUGGGCGUAAAGCGUGCGUAGGCGGAAGUUUAAGUGUGGCCUGAAAGCCCCCGGCUCAACCGGGGAGGGUGGCUGCAAACUGGGCUUCUUGAGGGGGAUAGAGGAGAGUGGAAUUCCGGGUGUAGCGGUGAAAUGCGCAGAUAUCAGGAGGAACACCAAUGGCGAAGGCAGCUCGCUGGAACGGUACUGACGCUGAGGCGCGAAAGCGUGGGGAGCAAACAGG